CUGAUGGCGGCAUUACCAAUCUGAGAAACAGGUGAGGAGAUGCGGAAAUUCAAAGAUGAAAUUGGUUGGAAUAAAACAAGCCGUUGCUGCUAAUGGAAGAAUCAAGAGAUGGGGUCUGUUCGAAUUCGUAUUACAUAAGAUUUUUUGUCACAGAUUUGGAUUUGGUCGUUGUCGAAGAAAUCAGAGUUUGCUGUUGAUUUGAGAAGGUUGCUGGUGGAUUCAAAGAAUAGGGUGUAGCUGUUCGAUUCAGAAGGAAAGAAGGAACUGAAAUUGGUGCUUUCAUCAGUUUCUUAGCUACGCUUUUUACUCUGGUGUUGGAGUUAGGGUUACGAGAUUGAGAAGAUGAAGCUGGUUCUGGACCGAAAUUGAGACAGAGACGAAGAAUUGAAGCUGAUGAAAUCGAUGGGUUUCUGUGGUUGUUCACUGAGUAAUUGCAGAUCUGAUUUGGAGAUGUUUUGAACUGAGGGAGGAUGGAUUUCUGGAGCAGAUGGAGCUGAAUUAGGGUUCUACAGCAAUUGAUGAAGCGGAGAAGACAUAAAUGAAGAGAGAAUCAAAAAAGAAAUUGGGGGUUCGAUUAGAGAAUAAUCAGGUCUGUAAACAGUGGGUUUGUGUUGUAUUUGAAGAAUACACACAAGAAGACAAGGUUGAGCUGUUGAAUUCAUAGAGAGUAUGGAAGUGAAUGAAAUGGGUAUGAAAUGCUGCUGCAAUGAGGAACUGGUGGUGCUGUUUUAGUAACAUGGCUUGAGCUGUGGAAAUAGAUGAGUUGUUGAUUCUGGUGGUGAUUCAUGAAGCUAUAUAGUGGUUGUGAAAGGGAUUUGGUGAUUGCAUUGAUUGCCAACAAAAAGAGAAGACCUCAGCUCAAAGAGUUGAUCAAAGUCAUCCAGCAAGAGCAAUCUGCAUAUAAGGAUCCCAUCACUGAGUUCUUGUACUGCUUGUAUGUCAACUAUGACUUCGAUGGUGCACAACAGAAGCUCCGUGAAUGCGAGGAUGUGAUUUCGAGGUGUCGGGAAUACGAAAUUUCAACAAACAUUCGUUACUGUCCCAGCUAGAUGGAAAGAAUUGAGGCUUUGAGCUGAUGCAGAGCAGCUGUAUUUGGAAGCUACAUCCAAUGGUUGAGAAUUCUGAUUGCAAAUGCAGAGUAGUUGUUGUUGCUGCUGGUGUUGCUGAGACAAUGGUGCUGUCGUUGCAGAAUGUGUCAGGCUGGUUCUGGUGGAGUUGCAGCCGCAGUGCUAAAUGGUAUGUUUGUUGUGUAUGAAAUAGCAAGGUGUUGGUGGUUCAGUUGCUUAGGGCUCUUUGUUUCAUUUAUCAUUAAUUCAUAUGUUUUAACUGGCUGAUUGCUAGAUUAACCCAGUUUUUGUACUUUUGGUUGUAGUGUUUUUGGCUUUGUACAGUUCUUAGUGUUAGUGGUCUACUGUUAUCCCUGUGAUGUAUGUUUCCCAGAUUUGGUUUAAAGAAAUUCCAAGAUGACUUAUUAGUUUGUGUACUGAUGGCCUUAAAAUGUUCAUUGUGGAUGCAGACUAAGUUUCAUGCAAUUCAUACUAGUGCAGAGAAGAACCUCCGAUUUGUGUAUUGUGCUGCUGCCAUAUCUUCUUUAUUGAAUGAUGAUUGGAGUGGGAUGGAUAUAUAGAAAGCCAAGGAAUAUAUAGUGAUCUGUCAGGUGCUCGCAGUCCAACUAUCAGCGAGAUUGAAACGCUGAACCGUUAGGCGCUGAAAAAGUGGUUUAAACGUUGAAUUGUUCGGCGUUUUGCGAAUAUUCCCUAGAAUCACUACCGAACCAUUCGGCGUUUGCACAAAAGUUGUUCCAUUCGGCGUACCCUUUCAACGUCGCACCAUGCGACGCUUGACUGUUUUUCCUCCAAUGACUAUUUUUUUCAGAAUUCCAUUUCCUAAAUUAUGAGAAUUUCCAAAUGAUUUUCCAAUUUGUUCCAAUGGUUGCGUGUUUCAAAUUUGAAAAUUUAUCAAAGUAAAGGGAAAUUUUUAAUUACAUUUCAAAACGGUUACAAUAUUUUUUGAAGAAAUUGAAGAAAACAUUAAAAUUAAAAUAAAUUAGAACACAAAAAGAUAUAUUGAAAUUGAAAUUCUACAACUUAGAGCAUAAAAAAAUACAUUGAAAUUGAAAUCCUACUUCUAAAUAACUUAAAACAUAAAAAAAAAAGUACAUUGAAAUUGAAACCCUACUUCUAAAUAACUUAAAUUAUUACUAAUAUAUCAUUUUAAUUUAGGGGAUAAGUGGUAAUCCAUAACGGGCUAAAAUCUCGUUCUUCCAUAUUUUGUAGACGGGUUUCUCCCAUUCUUGUAAUUCAUCCAAGAGUUGACGUAGGAUCUUCAUGUCCGAUUCUCUUUGCUGUGUUUGUGCCAAAAUUGAAGAGUUUUCUAUGUCCUUCUUCAGAUACUCUUCCUCUGUUUCAUAUUUUGCCAUUCUUUGUGUUUGUGCGUUUUCAAGAAGUUCGAUGAGUUUAUCCAAUUUUUCAUCUGAUUUAUGCGAUGCUUUAGCUCACGAGCUCUUUUCUUUGCUUGAUCUCUCCCUUCACUUCUAACGUCAUCUGUUUGUUCAAAAUAACGCCUUCUCUUUGAUAUGUCUGAGGUUUCAGAAAUAUGAGUAGAUGAAGAGCUACCAAACCUUGCCAUAUUUUGAAAUUCUUCAUCCAAAUUAUCAACUUCAUUUUCUUCAGUAGUUUGAGUAUGUUGACUAGGUUGAGUGGAAGUACCGACUCCAUCAUCGUUAUUCACCGCUGGAUUGUAAUAUGGUUGAUAAGUCUUCAGGAUCUUAAAAAUUGACUCGUGCAUCCAUUGUUUUUUAAACGCUGCUACAUAAUUCUCUCUUCCACGACGAUACUGGGGAAAAAAUGAAAAGAAAAAUUUAGAGAAAGAAAGAAAGAGAUCAAAAUGGAAGAAAGAAAACAUUAAUUUUUUUUUUUGAGGUACUUACAUAAUCCUCCUCGGUCAUCCCCGUAGAUCUACUUCGGAAGUAGGGUCUAAUAUAUGAAAUAUAUUUUUUCAUUUCGGCUCUCAAUGUGUUACACUUUGUUCGUAAUGCCUUUCUAUCUCUUUCGACACCAUUGGGACCUUUUCUUUUAUUGUAUUCUUCCAUUAUCUUUCCCCAAAAUAUUGCACCUUUUUGAUCUUUUCCAUGAAUCGGAUCGUUGCUUGCUAUGACCCAACCAUAAAUUAGUGCCUCUUCUUCUAAUGUACUAAAGUGUGUCAUAGUUUUGUAUGAACAAAAUUAUGUGAAGACGAAGAAAAUCAAUGAAGAAGAUAAUUAAUUGAUUUUGGUGUGAGGGAUAAAGGAGAAGUAGUCCUCAAUUUAUAGGGAAGCCUGAAAAUAUAACUGUUGAGGUUUCAAACGGCUACAAAAUCUGAGUUGUUGAGAAUGCAACGGUCAUCUUGAUCGGAUGGCUAAGAUUUGUCAGCGCCGUUCGGUUCGGCGUUGGAACGUCGUUUGGUUCGGCAUUUCCUCAAACGACUACAUUUUCAGCUCAAACUCAGAUCAUUUCCUAUCUCUAUAUAAACCUAUCACAUAAAACUCAAAAUCCCCACCUCAAUUCUCAAUUCUCCUAUCACAUAA